CUAAUUUCACUGUGAAAGGUUCUUUGCUUGUUAGGCCAGUAGCUCAACCAAAUCCUCCCUCUGAGUUCCCACUCCAUGGUCUUCCCUAAGGCUUCUUCACUCACCUUCCACCGCACACUCUCCCCAUACUCGUCUCCAGCAAAGAUCACCCCUCCUUGUCUUGUGAAAGGUCUGGAAGCCUUCGAGUACCUGUUUCUGAACCAUGCUUUAGGUCGAAAUAACAUCAGCUUCGAAGGCUUGGAAGAGAAGAUCUCUCUGCCAUUGAUGCCACCAUGAAGAAACCAAUUCAGGAUCGCGCUGUUUCCAUGGACUGAUUGCUCAAAUCUCCAAGGCUUC
rnacentral:lncRNA from 1 species